rnacentral:misc_RNA from 1 species
GGUGGUCGACGGUGUCGCGUACUUACUUGGCGAAGAGAAAGAAGAAGCUAGAGAGGAGUGAAAGAGAGAGAGAUAUACUUUAAGAUUUAUACUUGACAGAGGUCGAAGUUGCCUAGUUUUUAGCGAUACGGUUCAACCAUCCUACGUUGUGCUGAAACCUUCGUAUACAGGUAAGAAAUGAUUGUUAUUGCGCGUAUUCGUUAACUUGUAAUAAGA